GAUGAACGCUGGCGGCGUGCCUAAUACAUGCAAGUCGAGCGAACGGACGAGAAGCUUGCUUCUCUGAUGUUAGCGGCGGACGGGUGAGUAACACGUGGAUAGCCUACCUAUAAGACUGGGAUAACUUCGGGAAACCGGAGCUAAUACCGGAUAAUAUUUUGAACCGCAUGGUUCAAAAGUGAAAGACGGUCUUGCUGUCACUUAUAGAUGGAUCCGCGCUGCAUUAGCUAGUUGGUAAGGUAACGGCUUACCAAGGCAACGAUGCAUAGCCGACCUGAGAGGGUGAUCGGCCACACUGGAACUGAGACACGGUCCAGACUCCUACGGGAAGCAGCAGUAGGGAAUCUUCCGCAAUGGGCGAAAGCCUGACGGAGCAACGCCGCGUGAGUGAUGAAGGUCUUCGGAUCGUAAAACUCUGUUAUUAGGGAAGAACAUAUGUGUAAGUAACUGUGCACAUCUUGACGGUACCUAAUCAGAAAGCCACGGCUAACUACGUG
rnacentral:rRNA from 1 species